rnacentral:RNase_P_RNA from 1 species
UCAGACGGCCGGGCGGUCGCGGCGGGAGCUUGCUCCUGUCGAGGAAAGUCCGGGCUCCACGGUGAAAAGGCGGCGGGUAAUGCCCGCCCGGGGUGACCCGAGGGAUAGCGCCACAGAAAGCAAACCUCCGGACCUGCGGGACCGGUAAGGGUGAAAGGGUGGGGUAAGAGCCCACCGCGUCUCUGGUAACAGCGACGGCAUGGCAAGCCCCGCCUGGAGCAAGACCGAAUAGGGAUGUCGCGCGGUUUCGGCCGCAGGGUUCACCGCCCGAGGCAUCCGGGUAGGUCGCGAGAACCGUCCGGCAACGGGCGGUCCAGAGGAAUGAUCGUCACCCGACGUCCGGCUUCGGCCGGGCCAAGGGGACAGAACCCGGCUUACAGGCCGUCUGACAUU